GACGAACGCUGGCGGCGUGCCUAAUACAUGCAAGUCGAACGCAGUGGGGACGGGUGAGUAACACGUGGGUAACCUCCCAUCAGAGGGGAUAACACUUGGAAACAGGUGCUAAACCGAUACUGAUGGAUGGACCCGCGGUGCAUUAGCUAGUUGGUGAGGUAACGGCUCACCAAGGCCACGAUGUAUAGCCGAACCGGGAGGGGGAUCCGGCACACUUGGUACGGGACACGGCCCCGAAUCCCUAGGGAGGCAACAGUAGGGAAACUUUGGCAAUGGACGAAAGUUGGGCCGGGGAACCCCGGGGUAGGGAAAGAGGUUUUCGGAUCGUAAAACUCUGUUGUUAGAGAAGCGGUAUCUAACCAGAAAGCCACGGCUAACUACGUGCCAGCAGCCGCGGUAAUAC
rnacentral:rRNA from 1 species